ensembl:misc_RNA Metazoa_SRP Metazoan signal recognition particle RNA
GCCAGGCACAGUGGGCGUGCCUGUAGUCCCAGCUACUCAGGAGGCUGAGGCUGGAGGAUUGCUUGAGUCCAGGAGUUUUGGGCUGUAGUACACUAUGCCAAUCGGGUGUCUGCACUAAGUUUGGCAUCAAUAUGGUGACCUUCUGGGAGCGGGGGACCACUCUAAGAAGGGGUGAACCGGCCCAGGUUGGAAAUGGAGCAGGUCAAAACUCCGAUGAUGAUCAGUAGUGGGAUCCUGCCUGUGAAUAGCCACUGCACUCCAGCCUGGGUAACUUGGCGAGACCCCAUCUCUU